rnacentral:rRNA from 1 species
GACGAACGCUGGCGGCGUGCUUAACACAUGCAAGUCGAACGGAAAGGCCCUGCUUUUGUGGGGUGCUCGAGUGGCGAACGGGUGAGUAACACGUGAGUAACCUGCCCUUGACUUUGGGAUAACUUCAGGAAACUGGGGCUAAUACCGGAUAGGAGCUCCUGCUGCAUGGUGGGGGUUGGAAAGUUUCGGCGGUUGGGGAUGGACUCGCGGCUUAUCAGCUUGUUGGUGGGGUAGUGGCUUACCAAGGCUUUGACGGGUAGCCGGGCUAAGAGGGUGACCGGCCACAGUGCGACAGAGAUACGGCCCAGUCCCCAACGGAGGGCAGCAGUGGGGAAUGUGACACAAUAGGCGGACGCCAAAUCCAGCAACGCCGCGUACGGGAUGACGGACGUCCGGUGGUAAAACACUUUCGCCUAUAACGAGGAGGGAAAGACGGUAAUGGGUUAAGAAGCACCGGCUGACUACGUG